rnacentral:lncRNA from 1 species
AUGCCAAUACUCUUCUUAUACCAAGGGGUCCCCAUUUUUUUUUUAAGAUUUUACCUAUUUAUUCAUGAGAGACACACAGAGAGGCGCAGAGACACAGGCAGACGGAGAAGCAGGCUCCAUGCAUGGAGCCUGAUGGGGGACUCGAUCACACCCUGGGCCAAAGGCAGACGCUCAACCACUGAGCCACCCAGGUGCCCCAGGGCCCUCACUCUUGCACCUUGGCAAAGUUUCUCCCCUCCAAUGCUUUUGUUCUUCUCCCUUUGGAUUUCACGGAGAAACACCUUUCCAUUUGGAGGCGCUCUACCGCAACUGAACCAGAUAAGAUCUCUCGGGAGGCUGUGGUCCAACUUCCAAAGAGGUGGGCGUGAGGGGUUCUUCCCAGAAGCCAGAGCUGCCUCAGCGUCACCUGAUCCAACACCCACCCUCUCAGGCCUGGCCUCCCAGGGCCCUCCGGGGCAGCAGGAGGCUGCUGUUCUGUCGGGCCUCUCCCCCACUUCCUGCCACAGGAAGGGCCAAAGCCACUCCUCUUCGGUCAAUAAUCCGAAGUCUCCUCCCUUACCCGCAGGAAACUUUCCUGCCCCUGGCUCGGCCGCCCGUCCUCAUUCCCGGGGCCCCCCAAACCUCUUCCCCAGGCUCCACCUCCCANCCCGCGCCCCCUCCCCCGCCCCCCCCCCCGCCACACCCCCUGAGCUUCACCGGGCCGCCCCCAACUCCCUCCCGCCCACCCGCCCGGUUCAGCCCCGGCCCGAGGCCCCCCCGCGCUCCUACUUCGCCCCCGCCCGGCCUUCCACGCCUCCCCGGGGACCCGCCCCGGGCCGGCCCUCACCGUGGACGCCACGUUCUCCGUCGGCCGCCUCAGCCCGGAAGAGCAGCAGCGAGGCCAGCAGGGCGAGGAGCGCCCCGCACCGCCCCGGCCCACAGAGCUGCGCCAUGACGGGCUCCACCCGGCAGCGCAGGCGAAGCGUCGAGCCGCGGGCCGUUAGGGUCUCGCGAUCGGGGGCGGGAAGACCCUUGGCGCGCACGCGCGCUGGAGAGCCUCGCGUUCAGGUGCGGGCGCUCGCGGAGGGGCCGCGCGGUGCGGCGGCGGCCGGAGUCUUCCGCGGCCCUUCGGCGGGCGGACGGUCGCCCUCCCACGCCCGCGCGGCUUCUGUCCGCCCCCGCACUCGCCCCUUGCCCCAGGCGCGACACUCAGCGACCUUCUCACCCUUCGGAGCCCCGCCGCACCUCGAAACGCUCGGUGGGCGCCAGAGCCAAUGGCGGCCGCCUCCGAGCAGCUCGCGAAGGUGCCGGUCGGUGAGGGGGCGGGGCGCACCUGGCGAGGCGGGGCGCGCAGGCGCAGGGAGCCGCACCUGA